rnacentral:rRNA from 1 species
GAGUUUGAUCUUGGCUCAGAUUGAACGCUGGCGGCAGGCCUAACACAUGCAAGUCGAGCGGCAGCGCGGGGCAACCUGGCGGCGAGCGGCGGACGGGUGAGUAACGCGUAGGAAUCUACCCAGUAGCGGGGGAUAGCCCGGGGAAACUCGGAUUAAUACCGCAUACGCCCUAAGGGGGAAAGCAGGGGAUCUUCGGACCUUGCACUAUUGGCAGAGCCUGCGUUGGAUUAGCUAGUUGGUAGGGUAAAGGCCUACCAAGGCAACGAUCCAUAACUGGUCUGAGAGGAUGAUCAGUCACACCGGAACUGAGACACGGUCCGGACUCCUACGGGAGGCAGCAGUGGGGAAUAUUGGACAAUGGGGGCAACCCUGAUCCAGCCAUGCCGCGUGUGUGAAGAAGGCCUUC